AGGAGCCUACGGGGCGCAGCAGUGGGGAAUAUUGCACAAUGGGGGAAACCCUGAUGCAGCGACGCCGCGUGAAGGAAGAAGUAUUUCGGUAUGUAAACUUCUAUCAGCAGGGAAGAAAAUGACGGUACCUGACUAAGAAGCCCCGGCUAACUACGUGCCAGCAGCCGCGGUAAUACGUAGGGGGCAAGCGUUAUCCGGAUUUACUGGGUGUAAAGGGAGCGUAGGCGGUUUAGCAAGUCAGAAGUGAAAGCCCGGGGCUCAACUCCGGGACUGCUUUUGAAACUGUUGAACUAGAUUGAAGGCUG
rnacentral:rRNA from 1 species